GUGUGAUUAUGUUUACAUUAUUUGAAUUCAGUUAUUGUUUCCUAUGUUAUUGUAAUUGAAAUUAUAACAGGUGGGUUAUCGAUAGAUCGAUCAAUGCACACUAUUGUAGGAAGUACUAAAAAACAUCUAUAACUUGCACAGACUAGAUGCAAGAAAUAAAAAUUAAUUUGUAUAUAUAUUUUAUUUUUGAAUAAUUACUAUAAAAUACUUACAUUGUCAUCAAUCAUA
rnacentral:lncRNA from 1 species